AAGUCGUAACAAGGUUUCCGUAGGUGAACCUGCGGAAGGAUCAUUAUCGAAUUGUAAGGACUUGGUUGUCGCUGGCUUUUCCAUCUGGGGGAGCAUGUGCACGCCAAGUUCAAACUCUUCACUUCAACCUCCUGUGCACUUUUGUGGAUCGCGGAUGGAAAACUUGUCAAAGUAACAUUUGGUUUUGGGGUUUGCUUAAUUCGCUUUCCUCUGCAUCCGUCCGCGGUUCAUGUCUUUUAACAAACUAUUUAAUACAACUUUGAAUGCUUAACGAGUUGGGAACUUUUUGUAACCCUUCUUAAAUCUUAUACAACUUUCAACAACGGAUCUCUUGGCUCUC
rnacentral:misc_RNA from 1 species